rnacentral:rRNA from 2 species
GCCCAAAGGUUCCCUCAGAAUGGUUGGAAAUCAUUCGUAGAGUGUAAAGGCACAAGGGAGCUUGACUGCGAGACCUACAAGUCGAGCAGGGACGAAAGUCGGGCUUAGUGAUCCGGUGGUUCCGCAUGGAAGGGCCAUCGCUCAACGGAUAAAAGCUACCCCGGGGAUAACAGGCUUAUCUCCCCCAAGAGUCCACAUCGACGGGGAGGUUUGGCACCUCGAUGUCGGCUCAUCGCAUCCUGGGGCUGUAGUCGGUCCCAAGGGUUGGGCUGUUCGCCCAUUAAAGCGGUACGCGAGCUGGGUUCAGAACGUCGUGAGACAGUUCGGUCCCUAUCCGUCGUGGGCGUAGGAAAUUUGAGAGGAGCUGUCCUUAGUACGAGAGGACCGGGAUGGACACACCGCUGGUGUACCAGUUGUCUUGCCAAAGGCAUCGCUGGGUAGCUAUGUGUGGACGGGAUAAGUGCUGAAA